AAUUGACUGAAAACUGGGACAUUAUGGAAGGAGGCUGCAGGAAUUAUCCUCCAACUUGAUAAAACCUGGAGCAGCUUCAGUGGCCCUUUAGCACUUGCAGAAGGGCACAAAUAAGGCUUGAAGGGAACUCUGAUUUGGGCCAGGCAAGAAUUUAUCUGGGAUUGGAGGAAUCCUCAUGGAAUUAUCCAGCAGGACACAGUGAAGAACGUUUUAGUGGAGUUAUUGAAGGUGAUGGACCUGACUCAUAAGGGCUGAAACUUGGAUAAAAAAAAAAAAACCAACACAAUUCCCCUGGUGCUGGGGUCACUCUGCUCAAAAAGGAACAAUCAUGGAAUUUAUUUCUUGUAAAACUCACACUGAACAGCAUUUUUGGAUGUAUUGCAUGUGAAGCCAACCCUGUGCCAGGAGCGUGUAUUUUGAAUUAUCUGCUCUCCUGAUUUGAAGAGAUCUGCCCCUGUACUCUGAUUGCUCCUUGGCCGGUCUGCCAGCCCCGUCAGAAAUGCUCACCUCACCGGUGGUUUCCUUCAAUCGCCAGCAGAGCUGCUCCAGAGGAGGUGUCUCAUCCAGUGGAAAAGGCACCAUUCACUGCUUUGGGAAGCAGCUCCACGUUUUACUUCCCCACAAGCGGGAAGCACCCGUAGGAAUGGCACUGCUCUGUCAGCUGGCUCAGUCCCUGGUGACAGUCUCUCCAGGGUGGCACUGCCCAGCCCUUGGCACACACCAGCACCAGGACCGUUGGGGUAAAUUUCCUGAAGUCGGUGGAACUCAAUCCUUUUACACCAGAAGAGAUUUUGUCUCUUCAUCUGUUGCUCCACGUUCUCCCCAGCAGAUGGGCUGUAGUGAUGAUGUCACCUCACCUCCUGGCACUUCAAAACACUCCUUUGGUUUGUGUGUGUGUGUUUUAACACUUUAUCCUUCUAGAAAAGCAGUAAGUGCUCUAAACACUGAAAUCUUAUCUUGUGCCUGGUGUGCUGCUUAAAUCAGGAAUAUCAGCUGCUGAACAGAGCUCUUUAAUUAUGUUAUUUAAGACUACCUAAAUAAUUGAAUCUGGGUAGGGCUUCAGAAACACUGACUUUUAUUUCAUCUCUAGGGGCAGGAUUUGUACUCACCUUAUUUCAUUGCAGUGUCCAGGAACAUCGGCCUGCAGGCUCUUGUGUGCUUGGAUUCAAAACAUGAAAAAUAUAGGAAAUAUUUCUACCUCCUAAUAACAGGUCACCUUCAAGGCAUGUUUGUAGCCUCUUAAAUGUCUGCUUCCAUAGAUUAAACAGGAGUGUUGGCCCCAUAGCUGGUUUGUGUAAGCUUAGGUUUUGUUUUGGGAGGCAUCUACAUGCUGGUAAAAAAUCGUCAAUUAAUCUCACUUAGAAGGGGCACAAGGGAAUGUGGGUUUUUAUUGUAUUUUAUACCUGGCUUUGUUCUCAAAGGGCUGUGUGAUAGUGGGCAAC